rnacentral:rRNA from 1 species
CGACCGGCGCACGGGUGAGUAACACGUAUCCAACCUGCCGUCUACUCUUGGACAGCCUUCUGAAAGGAAGAUUAAUACAAGAUGGCAUCAUGAGUCCGCAUGUUCACAUGAUUAAAGGUAUUCCGGUAGACGAUGGGGAUGCGUUCCAUUAGAUAGUAGGCGGGGUAACGGCCCACCGGGGCGACGAUCAGUAGGGGUUCUGAGAGGAAGGUCCCCCACAUUGGAACUGAGACACGGUCCAAACUCCUACGGAAGGCAGCAG